GAUGAACGCUAGCGGCAGGCUUAACACAUGCAAGUCGGAGGGUAACAAGGAAAAGCUUGUCUUUUUUGCUGACGACCGGCGCACGGGUGCGUAACGCGUAUAGAAUCUACCUUUUACUAAGGGAUAGCCUUUAGAAAUGAAGAUUAAUACCUCAUAGUAUCAUUUAACGGCAUCGUUUAGUGAUUAAAGGUUACGGUAUGAGAUGACUAUGCGUCCUAUUAGUUAGUUGGUAAGGUAACGGCUUACCAAGACUACGAUAGGUAGGGGCCCUGAGAGGGGGAUCCCCCACACUGGUACUGAGACACGGACCAG
rnacentral:rRNA from 1 species